rnacentral:rRNA from 1 species
CUACGGGUUGCACCAGUGAGGGAUUUUGCGCAAUGGGGGGAACCCUGACGCAGCAACGCCGCGUGAGUGAAGAAGGCCUUUGGGUCGUAAAGCUCUGUCAACUGGGAAGAAGUUACAAUUAUUAAACAGAUGGUUGUAUUGACGGUACCAGUGGAGGAAGCGCCGGCUAACUCCGUGCCAGCAGCCGCGGUAACACGGGGGGCGCAAGCGUUAUUCGGAAUUAUUGGGCGUAAAGGGCGCGUAGGCGGUUGUAUCGGUCAGAUGUGAAAGCCCGGGGCUCAACCCCGGAAGAGCAUUUGAAACAGUAAGGCUUGAGUAUGGGAGAGGAAAGCGGAAUUCCCGGUGUAGAGGUGAAAUUCGUAGAUAUCAGGAGGAACACCGAUGGCGAAGGCGGCUUUCUGGACCAAUACUGACGCUGAGGCGCGAAGGCGUGGGUAGCGAACGGGAUUAGAUACCCGAGUAGUC